UGGCGGCGCGUCUUAAACAUGCAAGUCAAGCGGAGUAGCAAUACUCAGCGGCGAACGGGUGAGUAACACGUGGGUAAUCUUCCUCUGAGUCUGGGAUAACUUUCCGAAAGGGAAGCUAAUACUGGAUGGUCCCGAGAGAUCACAAGAUUUUUCGGGUAAAGAUUUAUUGCU
rnacentral:rRNA from 1 species